rnacentral:lncRNA from 1 species
GUUUCCACUCACACGGUAGGCGGCUGUGCAAUUUCGUCUGGAGUCCGCAGACCCCUCCUCAUCCUUCCCAGGGUUGCUCUGAGGCCAUUCCUCGUCAUCUAGGAGGGGUCUACAUAAAAGCAUUUAUAAACACCUCCAAAUGGGAGCCAGGCGUGCCCACCUUUGGAGCACUUUUCUCUACUGCAAAUUUAUCUACUGCUCGUGAAAUCUCUGGAUUUAACUCUGAUGAAAGACUGGAGGCUGAAGGAGAACUUCAAUAUCAUAUAUUUUAAAGGUUGAUUCACAGUUUGGAGCAAGAAUUAAAGAACCACGAACUUCAAGGUAAAACGGGCAACGGCGUUGGGGCAAGCCUCUCUGCAUCUGCGUGUCCAGCCUCUCCUGCAUGCCAGAAGUCCCCAGGCAGGAGUGUGGUGGGACAUCCGGCUGGGGUAAGGACAGACACCCUCCCACUGUGUCAGGGCCCAGAGAGUGGGUGGAGAAGCUCUGCAAGAGACCUGUGCAAGGGCGCCUUGCAGGAGCCUGCAGUCCCCACAGGUGUGUUUGUGGAUAACACUUGGGGAGCCCUGGCCUUUUGGGGUCACAGAGGGCUUGGCCUCUCACCUCAGAGCUGCAGAGAAGCCGCUUCUACAUCAGGACAUCAGAAGCUGGAACAGGAUGGCCGGCGAGGGGCCUCUUGUUGGGGUCACAGAGAUGGGUCGCAGAGAUGGCCCGUGUGGAAGGUUGGAUUCUCACCCCACCUCUGCCCCUAGAUGUCCUGGUGACCCUCCCCUCUGUAGUCUUGGUUUUUUGCAAAACAGUUAUGACCUCCUGCCAUACUGGGUACUUUGCUUAUGUAUUGUGUUUACUCUUUACUGUGUGUCUCUCCUGCUAAGGUCUACGAAGAAGGGUCUUUGUGGGUGGGGUUCUUAGAGGCAUCCCAAGUACCAGAAGCAGUCCCUGGACUAAGGGGCUCAAUAAAUAUUUUUUAUUUAUUAUUUUUUCUUUUUGAGAUGGAGUCUCGCUCUCUUGACCAGGCUGGAGUACAGUGGCACAAUCUUGGCUCACUGCAGCCUUCGCCUCCUGGGUUCAAGUGAUUUCUGGCUAAUUUUUGUAUUUUUAGUAGUGACGGGGUAUCACCAUGUUGGCCAGGCUGGUCACAAACUCCUGACCUCAAGUGAUCCACCCGCCUCAGCCUCCCAACAUGCUGGGAUUAUAGACAUGAGCCACCAUGCCUGGCCAAAUAUUUGUCAAAUUGAAUUUGUAUUUCCAUACAAAUUUUAGUCUGGAUAAAGUGCUUCAUGCCUGUAAUCCAAGCACUUUGAGAGGCUGAGGCGGGUGGAUGGCUUGAGCCCAGGAGUUUGAGACCAGCAUGGAAAACAUAGAGAAACCCCAUCUCAAUAUAAGAAGAAGAAGAAAAAGAAAAAAAAA